UGGGGAAUAUUGGACAAUGGGCGAAAGCCUGAUCCAGCCAUGCCGCGUGUGUGAAGAAGGUCUUCGGAUUGUAAAGCACUUUAAGUUGGGAGGAAGGGCAGUAAGCGAAUACCUUGCUGUUUUGACGUUACCGACAGAAUAAGCACCGGCUAACUCUGUGCCAGCAGCCGCGGUAAUACAGAGGGUGCAAGCGUUAAUCGGAAUUACUGGGCGUAAAGCGCGCGUAGGUGGUUCGUUAAGUUGAAUGUGAAAGCCCCGGGCUCAACCUGGGAACUGCAUCCAAAACUGGCGGGCUAGAGUAGGGCAGAGGGUGGUGGAAUUUCCUGUGUAGCGGUGAAAUGCGUAGAUAUAGGAAGGAACACCAGUGGCGAAGGCGACCACCUGGGCUCAUACUGACACUGAGGUGCGAAAGCGUGGGGGGCAAACAGG
rnacentral:rRNA from 1 species